UGUUUAUUCCAAGAGCAUGUAAUCAAGACCCAUUUACCGAAUGUAGACCUAUUUCCUUCAAUGUUUCUUCUAUUUUUGAUUUCUAUUCCGAGGCAACUCUCUCCUCCGUCACCGUCGCCGGCCCUGCUCCGCCUCACUACCACCAUAUUUACUUUCCGUCGUUCCUUCUCGCCUGUGCCUCGGUGAGGUAGUUGUUUGUAUUUUGCAAUUUUCUUCUCGGCCGAUUCGUCAAUGCUCCAAUGCUUUUGGUUCUGUUUCGUUAGAGGUCUUCAGCGAUGUUCGCGCCUUCGAAAUUCCGCUAGACGGUGAUGAUGUGGGGAUCGGUCAAUGCCUUGGUUAUCCGAAGGCCUACACCAAGCUAUGCCGAGAUAAUGGCUUCGGAAUGUAUACCUUGGAUUCGCAGGAAGAGCAAUCUUGGACCACCCUCCACCUUUCCAGAAAUUAAGAAGUUGCACCUACUGCUAUACCUCGCACAGUCUUACAACAAAUUCCUACAUCUACAGAUUUGGGAUUUGAAGGCUGAACAAAGUUUGCCUCAUCAAUCAUCUAUCCAACAACAAGAGGUGGUUGGGCUUUCACCCCAAGAUCAUGACUCUCAACAAAAUGAAAUUCUGAAACAGCAGGAACAUCAGUCAUACUUGCUGUAAAUUGGUCAACACUUUUGUUUUAUAUUACCCAUUUCAGUCCUGUAACCUCCUCACUCUACUCCUCCAAAUCGGACUCACAGUUCCCGUCGGCGAACUCCUCCCAAGGAGUCCUCCUUAAACCCUCCACCGAGAUUUGUUCAACAAUCGCUCUCCUCUACCGUCACCAUUGAAAUUAGCUCGGAAAGCUCUUUAACGUCAAGGUACACAUCUAUUAACCAGAAUCUGCCUUUAUGUUCACAGAGCUCCGCAUUCGUGCGUUCUUACAUAGUCCAACCGUUUAGAGGCAGUUUUAUUUGACCUUUAGGUAAUUGGUAAAUGAAUGAAUAUACAAUCUUUACCUAAAACACUUCAUCCACUGUUUCCUAAUUACCUAAAAGAAAUCUUAUACGCAGCACAAACUAAUUAAUAAAUUACCUUUCUAAAAUUGAAUUGUCAAACCAGAAAUCCGAGAGAAAGCAACACACCUUCUCCCGAAGGUGCAUUAACCUGCUUACAUUAUUUACUCCCAACAAUGCCGCAACAUCCAAACUUGCAGAGUGUACGACGAUGUUUGAUACGUAAGAGAAAUUCCUCUGCCAGAAAUACCAUGGAUUGCUCCAAAUGUUCCCCCAUGCAUUCACUGUGGAGCAAUCUUUUCUACCGUGAAAUAUAUAUAUAUAUAUAUAUAUGUAUGAUGUGGAGAGAUAAGUACCAGGGAGAGAGAAAGAGUCAGAGAAAGUAUGAGAAUUAAUUGAUGAAUUCUUCGGUUUUUAUUCCAUGGAUUCAUACAUAUAUUUGUAGGUACAGAUUUGCCACUAAAAUGAUACAGCAACAUCCACGUAUCGUCGA